rnacentral:lncRNA from 1 species
ACCCCUCUAUAAAAAUCAGCAAUCUUGGCUUCCUGCUCAUUCUCAUAUUGAACAAAAAAAGCAAAAGCACCAUAAAAAGGAAUUGGGUUUAGUUUCAUUUGAGCAAAAAUGGCAGCAGUAGUGGAGACAUGGGUGACUGAGCUAGCAAAGCUUAAAGAGAAGGUGGGACCAAAGAAGCCAUUUCUGUUCAUAUCCAAAGCCAGAGGAGUUGUAGUGGAAGAAGAAGAAGAAGAAGAAAGAGAAGCUGAGAAAGAAAGCAAAGUGGUUCAUAGAGAAACUACUAUGUCUGAGGCUACAGUGUGUAUGCUUAUGGACAGGUUUGCACCUUUGUGAUGAUAACCAACAUCAACAAAAAUUAUGUAAAAUAAAUAAAUAAAUGUAAAAUUAGUCCAAAUGUUUAUUAUGAUUGUAAUAUAGUCUUUGUUUUUUUUCUUUUUUGGGAGAUGGAGAUGUUGGAGUAGGUUUGCUUUUCCAGGAGAAUGGAAAUGGGUACAAAUCAAAAUUGGUUUACAUGUUAGAACUAGUGCCAUGGCAAUUUUUGGGUAAUUUACCAUUAAAUCCUUGAAAUAUUGCAAAACUCAUAAAUUAAUCCUAGUUUAAAUUUAAUGACCAUUUAACUUUCCAUUAAUCAAUUAAUCCUUCUAGCAAGAGGGAACUCAAUUUUUUAUUAUCAAUUAGAAAAUGACAAAUUCACCUUUUAUCAUUGUGAUAAAGAAUCUCCGUCUUGGAAACUAACACCAUGUUUGGAAGGAAAAUUUAGAGGAAAAUAAUUAUAUUUUUCAUUCAACUUUUGUUUCAACGGUGAAUUUUCUGAUUAUUAGUGAAUUUUCUCCUAUUCUUCGAUCGAUAUAGGUUUACGUUCCUGGAUUUUCUCUUUUUUUUGUCCGUCUGUUUUUUAUAUUAUUUUUUAUAUUCUUAUCUAAAUAAAUAUUUUAUUUUCGUAUUUUAUCAAGUAAAACGGGAGAUUGAGUUGGUUACUGCCUUCUUUUAUUUACUUAUUUUCCUUUCUUCUAUCCAAACAUGCCCUAAGGUGCAUCUUUCAGAGUGUGGUUAAAGGACUUCCCUCUCUGCUUGGACAUUGAGUUGAAAGAGGUUCAUAUCUCUCUCCUGCAUACGGCAAGAUUGAAAUUAGGAGGAAAUAAGAUACAGAAACUAAGAAAUAGAAAAUCUUAUCUCCUGUUUAAUUACUGAUUCGUUUGAAAUUCAAAAUUUUGUAAAUAUUUAAUUUAAUUAUUUUUUAAAUUAAAAUAAAAAAAUAAUUAUUUAAAAAAAAAUAAAAUUCUCAUAAGAAUUUGUUUAAAUUAUUUUUUAGCGAAAGAUUGAUCUGUGUUGCUCGCGUAUUCUCUAGAGAAUCCGCAGACCACUCCUAUGGAAGGGGAUGGGCAUGAAGAACAUUCAUCUGUCAGAAAACUUGCAUCUUCUGACUCAAGGUUAAAAAUAAUCAUGAGUUAUAUUCUUUAUUAUGUGUGAUUUUUAUAAAUAAUUAAUGGUAAAUUGAGAUUCUUUUCAAUAGAGCUUCAAAUUCGUUAACGAAAUAAACAUUUAAGGAAUAAAUUAUUAUUAUUCAAAUUUAAGAAAUUUUAAAUUAUAAUUUCUUUCUAAAAUUUCCUUUUAAGAUUUCAUUUAUGAAACACAUGACUAAUUCAUGCUUAUUAUGAAAUUAACCCAAGAAAACAACACAAAAUGACCAAGACACUUCCAUUCACAGAAUGAUCAGAAUUUGUUCAAUUGGAGUUAAUUAACAAUAAAGUCAAAAUUUAUUGACCCAAUUGUAAAAAAUUCAUGUAGCCUCUCUACAACUGAAAACAAUGAGGGAGCUGCAACUCCUGCCUGAUAUUUUUAGGGGACCAAAAUCAAAAUUUGACACACACAUCUAUAUUUAUAAUUUUUCCCAUCCUGCCCCUUACCUCCAUCACUUGGUGUAAAUAUAGUACAGUUGAUCAAGAGGAUGAACUGGCUUCAAGGCUAGCAGAAGCUUCCUCAAUGCUUGCAGAAGACAUUUCAAUGGGAUCCUCUUGAUCCCAGUUCAGAAUCACCCUUGCAUACAUAAGAGCUUCAUUAACAUUAGCAGGCUCCAAUGCUGUAACUAGUGAAACAAACAGCUUCUCAUCAGUAAGAGAAUGGAACAAUCUCUUAAACUUAACUGCGAUAUAUUGGAAUGCGCGUUGAGCUAACGAAGGGUUCGUGCUUUUAGAUGUGCUGGUGCUGCAGGUGUUGGGAUUAUGACCAAUCACUGGAUUGAAGUCAUUAAACCAUUCGCAGCGAGUGAGUGGAGUCUGUUCAAUCUUUUCUUCUAGCAAAUCAAAUUUGUUCAGUAUAAGAAGAAACUUCUUAUCUUCAAAAGUUGGAUGAGUAACAAUGCUUUCAAAUAGAUGCUUGCUUGCCAUCAUCUUGUUAGUCUGAACCCCAUUACUGUCUUCGACAAACUCAUCGUAGUCGAUCAACGAAACACAAAAUAAGACCAUGUCGACAUCUUCAAACAUUUCCAACCAUUUGCAGUUUCCUCCAAGGAUUUUUGGGUGCACUCUGAUGAGUUGGUACCUGUAAAUGUACGUGUAACUGGUGACUACUGGACAAAAGUUACAAUGAUAAAAAGACAAAAGAGCAGCAUCUCUAACUGCUCAUCCCUGCCUUUUUUUCUGAUAAAAGAAAUUUGCCUGAAUAAAGGAGCCCACAAUGAGUGUAAAAGGAGGAAAAUGGUCCUCCUAUGCAAGAACAAAUAGUAACAAAAUGAGAAUUAUUGUAUAGAAGUGCUAUCCAAUGCACGUCUGUCCACCACUGAAACGCCUCGAAAUAUACCAAAAGCUAACUAUAAAAAUAAAUACCAAAGAACAAUUAUGUCUCGCAAAAGCUGCAAAGGAUAGUAAUGGCUGACAAAAUUCUCACAUGACACUCCAACCAAACACAUAAAUCACUGCAAGCAAAGUACAGCUACAAAAAAUUUUCCUUUCUUUUGUCUAAUGAAAAAUGAAUCAGUAAAUCCAUAAUAUGCUUUUGGGUCAAACCAACUGUUCACCUGCUACUUAUUUCAGUUGCUCAGAAUAUGAGUUAUCAGUCGCAGUAACCACUUAUAACCUAAGUCUUCCAUUGCACAUAUGAGGUUUGUUCAGCAACAGUCAUGGAGAUAUUUGGACAUUUUAUAGGCCUGUUGGCGCUAUUUACUACUAGUUCAGGGCGGGUUGGCACAAUAUUGACACAAUCAUGAAUAAGCCCGACAAUAACCCUCUAUUUUUGUGUUGUGUUCACAG